CUGGCGUCUAAGAAAAUAGAGUCAUUGAAAUCAAGCUGACACUGCUUUUAGCCUUCUUAAUGAAAAGGUAGAUAGAUCUUGUUUGCAAAAUAAAUCUAAGACCUACUUAUCUACCAAUAGCA
rnacentral:snoRNA from 1 species